rnacentral:rRNA from 1 species
AUUUAACGCUGGCGGCAGGCUUAACACCUGCAAGUCGAGCGAGCGGCGGACUGGUGAGUAAUGUCUGGGAAACUGCCUGAUGGAGGGGGAUAACUACUGGAAACGGUAGCUAAUACCGCAUACCAUCAGAUGUGCCCAGAUGGGAUUAGCUAGUAGGUGGGGUAAUGGCUCACCUAGGCGACGAUCCCUAGCUGGUCUGAGAGGAUGACCAGCCAAAUUGGAACUGAGAAACGGGCCAGACUCCUACGGGAGGCAGCAGUGGGGAAGAUUGCACAAUGGGCGAAAGCCUGAUGCAGCCAUGCCGCGUGUGUGAAGAAGGCUGUCGGGUUGUAAAGCACUUUCAGCGAGGAGGCGUUACUCGCAGAAGAAGCACCGGCUAACUCCGUGCCAGCAGCCGCGGUAAUAC